rnacentral:lncRNA from 1 species
UUUAGGUUAGAAGGAGUGCUUCUUUUAUAGUUCCUAUUUUACUAUCGAGGACUGGAGAUUUUCUUGUUGGGGCUGAUCUAGGGAGUCUGCCCUCCGAGCUCCUGCACCAGAGGAUAUGAAAUUUUGAUCUCCUACACUGGGGAUGCAGAAACUCAAUACUUUAACACCUUGUGUGGGUAUAAGAUUCUGCUACUUUCAUAGCCGCUAUUGGA